rnacentral:snRNA from 1 species
AUGCUUGCUUUAUCAGCACAUGUACUGAAAUGUUAAUGACACAGAGAAGACAAGCAUGACGCCUGCAUAGAAGUGACAUACAAGUUUGUGGAGCAUUCCAUAAAAUA